UGGGGAAUAUUGGGCAAUGGACGAAAGUCUGACCCAGCGACGCCGCGUGAAGGAAGAAGGUCUUCGGAUUGUAAACUUAUGUUGACAGGGAAGAACACAAUGACGGUACCUGUCGAGGAAGCCACGGCAAACUACGUGCCAGCAGCAGCGGUAAUACGUAGGUGGCGAGCGUUGUCCGGAAUUACUGGGUGUAAAGGGUGUGUAGGCGGGUAAAUAAGUCAGACGUGAAAACUAUGUGCUUAACGCAUAGUGGCGUUUGAAACUAUUUGUCUUGAGUGCAGGAGAGGUAAGCGGAAUUCCCAGUGUAGCGGUAGAAUGCGUAGAUAUUGGGAGGAACACCGGUGGCGAAGGCGGCUUACUGGACUGUAACUGACGCUGAGACACGAAAGCGUGGGGAGCAAACA
rnacentral:rRNA from 1 species